rnacentral:rRNA from 1 species
UACGUAGGGGGCAAGCGUUUGUCCGGAUUUAUUGGGCGUAAAGAGCGUGUAGGCGGCCACACAGGUCAGCUGUGAAAACUCGAGGCUCAACCUCGAGACGUCGGUUGAAACCGUAUGGCUAGAGUCCGGAAGAGGAGAGUGGAAUUCCCGGUGUAGCGGUGAAAUGCGCAGAUAUCGGGGAAGAACACCCGUGGCGAAGGCGGCUCACUGGACCAUAACUGACGCUGAUGGCACGAAAGCUGGGGGAGCAAACAGG